rnacentral:rRNA from 1 species
GACGAACGCUGGCGGCGUGCCUAAUACAUGCAAGUUGAGCGCUGAAGGUUGGUACUUGUACCAACUGGAUGAGCAGCGAACGGGUGAGUAACGCGUGGGGCAUCUGCCUUUGAGCGGGGGACAACAUUUGGAAACGAAUGCUAAUACCGCAUAAAAACUUUAAACACAAGUUUUAAGUUUGAAAGAUGCAAUUGCAUCACUCAAAGAUGAUCCCGCGUUGUAUUAGCUAGUUGGUGAGGUAAAGGCGCACCAAGGCGAUGAUACAUAGCCGACCUGAGAGGGUGGUCGGCCACAAUGGGAGUGGGACAGGGCCCAAACUCCUACGGGAAGGGGCAAGAGGGAAACUUCGGCAAUGGGCGAAAGGCAGACCGAGCAACGCCGCGUGAGUGAAGAAGGUUGUCGGAUCGUAAAACUCGGUUGGUAGAGAAGAAAGUUGGUGAGAGUGGAAAGCUCAUCAAGUGACGGUAACUACCCAGAAAGGGACGGCUAACUACGUG